rnacentral:rRNA from 1 species
CGAAGGGGGCUAGCGUUGUUCGGAAUUACUGGGCGUAAAGGGCGUGUAGGCGGCCCGUUAAGACAGGUGUGAAAUUCCUGGGCUCAACCCAGGACGUGCGCCUGUGACUGGCGGGCUUGAGUCCGGGAGAGGAUGGUGGAACUCCCAGUGUAGAGGUGAAAUUCGUAGAUAUUGGGAAGAACACCCGUGGCGAAGGCGGCCAUCUGGACCGGUACUGACGCUAAGGCGCGACAGCGUGGGGAGCAAACAGGAUUAGAUACCCCGGUAGUCCACGCCGUAAACGAUGAGUGCUAGACGUUGGGAAGCCUAGCUUUUCAGUGUCGCAGCUAACGCAUUAAGCACUCCGCCUGGGGAGUACGGCCGCAAGGUUG